GCGACAGCCCCGUCGUGACGCCAUGUUGGGGAGGUCGGGGUCACCACUCUCCCCCUUCCCCCCCACCCCAGCCGCUGCCGCGGCUUCCCUUUGGGGUAGGAGGGAGGGAAGGGGUGUGGCAGGUAGCACGACGCCAUGUUCGGAGUGGCUAGGACAUCUGCCGACUUAAAGGGGCCGCUGUACUUUAGGAUGCUCCUUGCUCUGGAAGGGACCUUAAGAGAUCGUCCAACCCUCUCAUUUUACAGAGCAGAAAAGUGCAGCCCAGAGGAAGGGAAGUGACUAACCCAAGGUCAUGAAGCAAGAAAGUCAUCACGUGGCACAUGGCAACCAAAAGGCAUCGUGCGCCCGUCCAGGGAGGUGCUCCUGCCUCCCUCUGCCUGGCUCAGAACCGCGUCUGGACUCUUGUAAUCAGGUCCGGUCACCACAUAGGGAGCCCAUGGAGGAAGGCGAGGAGGACGUGGGGAUCCCGAACUUAGAGAUGGGGGUGGGGAGAGCUCUUAAGUGUCAUCUAAUACAACUGGGGCCUCCAAGCAUUUAUGUUCCAUGCUUACUGUGUGUCUGGUGCCGUGCUAAAGGCUGCGGCUACAAAUACAAACAAAAAGAAAAGCUA